UACGUAGGGUGCAAGCGUUAAUCGGAAUUACUGGGCGUAAAGCGUGCGCAGGCGGUUCGGAAAGAAAGAUGUGAAAUCCCAGAGCUUAACUUUGGAACUGCAUUUUUAACUACCGAGCUAGAGUGUGUCAGAGGGAGGUGGAAUUCCGCGUGUAGCAGUGAAAUGCGUAGAUAUGCGGAGGAACACCGAUGGCGAAGGCAGCCUCCUGGGGAUAACACUGACGCUCAUGCACGAAAGCGUGGGGAGCAAACAGG
rnacentral:rRNA from 1 species